GACGAACGCUGGCGGCGUGCCUAAUACAUGCAAGUUGAGCGCUGAAGGUUGGUACUUGUACCAACUGGAUGAGCAGCGAACGGGUGAGUAACGCGUGGGGAAUCUGCCUUUGGGCGGGGGACAACAUUUGGAAACGAAUGCUAAUACCGCAUAAAAACUUUAAACACAAGUUUUAAGUUUGAAAGAUGCAAUUGCAUCACUCAAAGAUGAUCCCGCGUUGUAUUAGCUAGUUGGUGAGGUAAAGGCUCACCAAGGCGAUGAUACAUAGCCGACCUGAGAGGGUGAUCGGCCACAUUGGGACUGAGACACGGCCCAAACUCCUACGGGAGGCAGCAGUAGGGAAUCUUCGGCAAUGGACGAAAGUCUGACCGAGCAACGCCGCGUGAGUGAAGAAGGUUUUCGGAUCGUAAAACUCUGUUGGUAGAGAAGAACGUUGGUGAGAGUGGAAAGCUCAUCAAGUGACGGUAACUACCCAGAAAGGGACGGCUACUACGUG
rnacentral:rRNA from 1 species